CAGCAGCCGCGGUAAUACGAAGGGGGCUAGCGUUGUUCGGAUUUACUGGGCGUAAAGCGCACGUAGGCGGACUUUUAAGUCAGGGGUGAAAUCCCUGGGCUCAACCCCGGAACUGCCUUUGAUACUGGAAGUCUUGAGUAUGGUAGAGGUGAGUGGAAUUCCGAGUGUAGAGGUGAAAUUCGUAGAUAUUCGGAGGAACACCAGUGGCGAAGGCGGCUCACUGGACCAUUACUGACGCUGAGGUGCGAAAGCGUGGGGAGCAAACAGGAUUAGAUACCCCGGUAGUCCCUGUCUCUUAUAC
rnacentral:rRNA from 1 species